rnacentral:rRNA from 1 species
GAUGAACGCUGGCGGCGUGCCUAAUACAUGCAAGUCGAGCGAACAGACGAGGAGCUUGUUCCUCUGACGUUUGCGGCGGACGUGUGAGUAACACGUGGAUAAUCUACCUAUAAGACUGGUAUAACUUCGGGAAACCGGCGCUAAUCCCGGAUAAUAUAUUGAACCGUAUGGUUCAAUAGUGAAAGACGGUUUUGCUGUCACUUAUAGAUGGAUCCGCGCCGCAUUAGCUAGUUGGUAAGGUAACGGCUUACCAAGGCAACGAUGCGUAGCCGACCUGAGAGGGUGAUCGGCCACACUGGAACUGAGACACGGUCCAGACUCCUACGGGAGGCAGCAGUAGGGAAUCUUCCGCAAUGGGCGAAAGCCUGACGGAGCAACGCCGCGUGAGUGAUGAAGGUCUUCGGAUCGUAAAACUCUGUUAUUAGGGAAGAACAAAUGUGUAAGUAACUAUGCACGUCUUGACGGUACCUAAUCAGAAAGCCACGGCUAACUACGUG